UUUGAGCGUCCCUAGAAGCCGGUGGAGAUCUUGGCGGUUAAAGCGAAGGCGCGCUGCUCCAGUGAUGCUGUUUCAUAUGGACAUCAAGUAUUAAACUUGUGUUUUGCUGCCAUCUUCAUGGUUCUGAAAACUGUUGCAUUAUUAUCUCAAAAGGGAAUGAUAUGGUGAUGGAGUAUUCACACUGACUGAUGGACUCAAAAGAAGAAAGCUCAGUAGAUGAAGAAGGAGCAAGAGAAAGAGGCCAGGUCUAUAUGUGGCAGGCUGGUUGCUGUUGUCCAGCUCCAGAAAGACUUUCAGGUUGGAGCGAAAAGACAGUAUUCCAGGCAGCGCUUGGAGUUAAUCAUGGUGUGCUUCUGUCAGAUGAUGGUGAGGUGUACAGUUUUGGAAAACUUCGUUGGAGGGUAGAUCUGGAAGAUGCUUAUGUUAAUUGUCCCAUAUUGGAGAAGGCUUUGAGUGGGCAGCAUGUUAUUACAGUGGCAGCUGGCAGCUUCCAUAGUGGAGCAGUGACUGAAGGUGGUGCAGUGUACAUGUGGGGGGAAAAUUCUGCUGGUCAGUGUGCAGUGGCCAACCAAGCCACUGUGCCAGAACCAAAACUUGUCAGCAUUUCUGAUUCUGAAGCAAGCCAUCUCCUGCCAAUAUGGAUUUUGCAGCUGGCAUGUGGAGAGGAGCACACCUUGGCGCUCUCAGUAAGCAGGGAGAUCUGGGCAUGGGGAAGUGGCUGUCAGCUAGGCCUCAUCACCCAUACUUUCCCAGUGACCAAGCCACAGAAGGUCGAGCACCUAGCAGGGCGUGUUGUGAUUCAGAUUGCGUGUGGGGCCUCUCACAGCCUGGCUCUUGUACAGUGCCUCCCCACCCAAGAUAUAAAGCCCAUCCCAGAGAGAUGCAAUCAUUGCAGCCAGCUCCUGAUUACCAUGACUGACAAAGAAGACCAUGUCAUUAUUUCUGAUAGCCACUGCUGUCCACUGGGGGUGGCCCUGGCUGACUCCCACUUGGAAAGCCACAUCUCCUGCUCCUCACUAGAAACUCUGGAGGGGAAGAGCAUUACAAGCAGUCAAGGUGAAGAUUGUCAGAAGUCUGUUAUGGAAGAUCAGAACCAGACACUUGCCACUGCAGGAUGUGAGGUAGCAAGUGUGUUUUCAAACCACAAUGGACAGGAAGACAGUGGUAUUUGUAGUCCAGGAAAUCUCUUGAUAACUGACAAAAUGACAAUGAAGCAACACUUGACAAGUCCUCCAGAUUGUUCAUUAAAUGAGAGUGGGGAGAAGCAAAUUGAUCUACAACCUGAACAGCAGUCCCAAGAAGAGGAUCUCAUUGCUUGCCUACCCAGUCCGCCUGGCCCAGGUACAUCUGCCCUUAACAGCCUGGUAGUCUCUUGUGCAGCAGCAGUUGGUGUAAGAGUUGCUGCUACGUAUGAAGCUGGGGCCUUGUCUCUGAAAAAGGUAAUGAACUUCUAUGGCACCGUUCCAGGUGACACAAUAUCCCAAUCUAGUGGUGGUUCUGCAGGCCUGGAUGGGCUGAAGGACAGCCGAGAGGAGCAAGUCAAGCUGGAGUCAAUGCAGGGGAAAAAGAGUUCCAGCUUGGUAGAUAUUCGAGAAGAAGAAUCUGAAGGAAUAUGUCGAAGACUUUCCUUACCUGGUUUGCUGUCCCAAGUUUCCCCAAGGCUCUUGAGGAAAGUAGGACGAACAAAAUUGAGGACGGUGGCCCUCACACCAACUUACAGUGGUGAAGCUGAUGCUCUUCUCCCAUCUUUACGAACUGAGGUGUGGAGUUGGGGAAAGGGAAAAGAAGGACAACUUGGACAUGGUGAUGUCUUGCCUAGGCUUCAGCCACUGUGUGUAAAAAGUCUUGAUGGUAAAGAAGUAAUUCAUUUGUCUGCUGGUGGCCAGCACUCCUUGGCACUCACUGCCAAAUCACAGGUGUAUUCAUGGGGCAGUAAUACCUUUGGACAACUUAGUCAUUUCAGUUCUCCAACUACAGUCCCUCGUCUUGCGAAGGUAUGCAGUGACAAUAGUAUCUGGAAUGUAGCAGCAGGUCCAGAUUAUUCACUAUUCCUAGCAGAUGGAGAAGAUUUUCAGCCUUUGUUAUAUUAUAGCGGUCGAGAAGACAGGAAAGACGUUUCAUCUGAAGAUAGUUGCCCAAAGAGUCCAACACCAUUGCUAAACUGUAGUAAGCUAGGGUAUAUUAGCAACGCAGUUGCAGGUGGAAGUAACUGUUUGGCAUUAGUGGACAAAAACAUUAUGGGAUAUAUUGCUAGUCUGCAUGAGUUGGCUUCAAUGGAGAGACAAUUUUAUUCCAAACUGAGCGCUAUAAAAUCACAAGUCCUCAGACCCCUCUUGGGCUUAGAUAACUUAGGUGCUGCAGUAACUGUCCAGCUGCUGCAGGAAAUGGCAAGUACCUUCAGCAAGUUGUGUUACCUAAUUGGUCAGCAUGGAGCCUCUUUGACUAGCUUUCUUCAGGGGUUAAAGGAGGCAAAGAAUUUGGCCAUCCUGAAGCAUUCAAGCCUCUUCUUAGAAAGUUAUACCGAGUAUUGCACUUCCUUAACAAAUUUUUUGGUGAUGGGAGGAUUUGCACUUCUCGCCAAACCAGCAAUGGAUUUCUUAAGCAAAAACCAGGCAUUACUUAAGGAUCUGUCGGAGACAAAUGAGGAGGUUUAUCCAUUAGUGGAAAUGCUAAAUGCUCUGUUUUUCUUGCCAGUCAGACGACUUCAUAAUUAUUCUAGAGUUUUGUUAAAGCUUGCUACAUGCUUUGAAGUGACCUCUCCAGAGUACCAAAGUCUUCAGGAUUCCAGUUCUUGUUAUGAAACCCUGGCUGUCCAUCUUAGCAGGAAAAGAAAAGAAGCUGAAUAUACACUUGGCUUCUGGAAGACCUUUCCUGGGAAAAUGACAGAUUCCCUGAGGAAACCCGAGCGGCGAUUAAUUUGUGAAAGCAGCAAUCGGGGACUUUCACUGCAGCAUGCUGGGAGGUUCUCAGUGAACUGGUUCAUUCUCUUUAAUGAUGCCUUGGUCCAUGCUCAGUUCUCAACUCACCAUAUUUUUUCCUUGGCCACAUUGUGGGUAGAACCUGUUUCAGAAGAGCCUGGGAAUAUAAAUGGCUUGAAAGUCACUACACCUGAAGAACAGUUCAUUCUUAUUUCCUCAACACCACAGGAAAAGACUAAGUGGUUGAAAGCUAUAAGUCAAGCUGUGGAUCAGGCCUUAAAAGGGACAUCUGAUUUGCCUCUUUAUGGGGGCAGUGGAAACGUUCAGAGGCAAGAGCCCCCUAUCUCACGGAGUGCCAGAUACACCUUUUACAAGGAUCCUCGGCUUAAGGAUGCCACUUAUGAUGGUCGAUGGCUUUCUGGGAAACCACAUGGCAGAGGAAUUUUGAAAUGGGCAGAUGGAAGGAUGUAUUCAGGCAUGUUCAGACAUGGCCUAGAAGAUGGAUAUGGUGAAUAUAAAGUACCAAACAAAUUACUGAACAAGAGUGAUCGUUACAUUGGCUAUUGGAAGGAGGGCAAAAUGUGUGGACAAGGUAUUUACAGCUAUGCCACUGGAGAGGUAUAUGAAGGGAGCUUUCAGGAUAACAUGCGUCAUGGCCAUGGCCUCCUGCGCAGUGGUAAACUGACUUCGUCCUCUCCCAGUAUGUUCAUUGGCCAGUGGGUGAUGGAUAAGAAGACUGGAUAUGGAGUGUUUGAUGAUAUCACAAGGGGAGAAAAAUAUAUGGGAAUGUGGCAAGAUGACCUCUGCCAAGGCAAUGGUGUUGUGGUUACACAGUUUGGACUGUAUUAUGAAGGCGCCUUUAACAGCAAUAAAAUGAUGGGGACUGGUGUCUUGCUUUCAGAAGAUGAUACAGUGUAUGAAGGAGAGUUUUCAGAUAACUGGACACUUAAUGGGAAGGGAACACUGACUUUUCCAAAUGGAGACACUAUUGAAGGCACUUUCAAUGGUGAGUGGGGAUCUGGGAUAAAGAUUGCUGGAACCUACAUGAAACCCAGCUUAUAUGAUCAUGAGAAGGACCGACCCAAAACGCUGAGGAAGCUUGGAAACCUUGCUGUUCCUGCUGAUGAGAAAUGGAAGGCUGUGUUUGAAGGAUGCUGGCAUCAACUAGGCUGUGAGCAACCCGGCCAAGGGGAUAGGUGGAAAGCUUGGGAUAGCAUUGCUGUUGCUCUGACAACCAAUCGGCGUCAACACAAAGACAGUCCAGAACUGUUGAGCAGAUCCCAUGCGCAAACUCUGGAAAGCCUGGAAUUCAUUCCACAACACGUUGGUGCCUUCACUUUGGAAAAAUACGACAACAUUAAGAAAUAUCUCGUAAAGGCGUGUGACACUCCUCUGCAUCCUUUGGGAAAACUUGUCGAGACUUUAGUAGCUGUAUACCGAAUGACGUAUGUGGGAGUGGGAGCCAAUCGGCGACUGUUGCAGGAAGCUGUCAGGGAAAUUAAAUCCUACCUCAAACGCAUCUUCCAGUUAGUCAAAUUCCUUUUUCCUGACCUUCCUGAAGAGGGAAGUACAAUUCCACUUUUGGUGACUGAGACUAAGGGAAGGAGAUCGUUCUGUAGUGGAAAAAGUGACUCCAGACCAGAAUCUCCAGAACCAGGCUAUGUGGUCACAAGCUCUGGAUUGCUGCUUCCUGUUUUGCUACCAAGACUCUACCCGCCUUUGUUUAUGCUGUAUGCCUUGGACAAUGAACGAGAGGAAGAUGUUUACUGGGAGUGUGUUUUGCGCCUGAACAAACAACCGGAUAUGGCACUUCUGAGUUUUUUGGGAGUGCAAAUGAAAUUUUGGCCAACAAACACCUCUGUCCUUGGGGAAAAUAAAAAGGUAUUGCCAAAUACAAAAGAUGCCUGUUUUGCUUCAGCAGUGGAAUGUUUACAACAGAUCAGUACAACUUUUACACCUGCUGACAAACUGAAGGUGAUCCAGCAGACCUUUGAGGAGAUCUCACAGAAUGUACUAGAGAAUCUUCAUGAGGAUUUCCUUUGGUCCAUGGAUGAUUUGUUUCCUGUUUUUCUGUAUGUGGUGCUACGAGCCAGGAUUAGGAAUUUGGGGUCUGAAGUACACUUGAUUGAGGACCUCAUGGAUCCCUAUCUCCAGCAUGGCGAGCAAGGAAUUAUGUUCACUACUCUGAAGGCAUGUUAUUACCAGAUUCAACAUGAAAAGCUUACCUAGAUGGACACAAAUAUGGAAGACUUCUGAACAGAGUUUCUGUCCUUCUUCCCUGAAAUCACCUAAAAUGGAAACAAAGUCGUCAUGCUGUGGAUGUCAUUCCUAGACUUUCUUCAAGACAAAGAGUGCAAAAGCCUUAGAAUCAGAAAAUGCGGAGGAAUCAAAAUAUACUUUGCAGACAGGGAAGGAAAAAUUACAUGUAGCAUGGCUUCUACAUGGAAUCCAUAUAAAAGCAUAGUCAGGGAAUGGACUGAUUCUUGCACUGAAGAUGCUGUUAAUUAUGUGCUUUCAAAGGAUUGAAAUGCACUGUAGAACCACUCAGUGUCCUUCUAAAUUCAACUGCCUGGUUGUGCAUCACUAAAAAAAAAUAUUGAUGAGUUGUCUGCUGCACUUCUUGCUCACAAUUUCUUAGCAAAGGAAAAGUGGUAGCAACUGGAGCAAAGAGAGGAAGAUAAGACUGCUUCUUCCAUGAAGGACUCUGGGAUACUGGCUGGAGGACUGAGAGGAAAGUUGGGAAAGCACAAGGCAUAGUGAGUCCAAUUCUCAGGUGCAUUGUGAGUUGUCAUUCCUCAAACAGCCCACCCUGUGUAACUUAUUCACAGGUUGGCUUAGUGUGUUGUGUAAAGCUGACAACUUUAUCUGUUGAUCCUCUCUAUACCUAGUAGCAUAGAUUGAUUUUCAAGUCCUUAUCCUGCAUUUCUCUGUCUACUUCCACUGCUUCCUUACAUAACUACUUAACACAAGUAAGUAUUUUUGUUUCAUUUUAAAAAACUGGAAAUUACUCUACUUUAAGAUCAGUCAAACAGUCUUUCUAGAACACUUAAGCAGGAAAGACCUUUUAGUUUGAAAUCAGAAUAGGAUAAUCUUUUUAAGGUCAUUGCCUGAUUAUCUUACAUAGUACAUUAAUCAUAGUCAUGGAACAACUUUUUCCUCUUGAGAGGGAAGGAAUCUUCCUCUGGAACAUUAACAAUGGCGUACUCUGGUCUAGUUUGGCUAAGAAAAAAAAUCAGAUAUCAGAAGAAAAGCUGAGACAUUUCGUGGGACCUGAAGUUUAGAGAGGCUGGAUAAGAUGAAGACCAAAAUCUGUAAUGUUUCUGUAACCAGAAACUCAGCAUCAGCAAGCCCCAGGAAUUGUCUGCUGUCUGAUAGAGCUAUAGAAUUAUUAUUUCUGUACUGUACAAUAGUCAAAGUCCUCUCUAAAGGGACAGUCCCUUUUGUAGCCCAGUCAAGCCUGGUGGCAAGCAGAGGUAAGGUGCAAUGAAGAAUCUUCAAAAAUCUCAAUUCUUUGCAGCCUUUUCACAGAUUUAGCUUUGGACAUUUCUAGCACUUCUAUUCUGAUAGUGCACUGGGACAAUAAGACAGAUAAAAGCAGACUGGCUGAAUUUUGAAGUUUCUGGUUCAGUGCAGCUGGAAAACCUUUCAGCUCUAUGAUUCUGUGAUUUAAAACAAAAAACAACAACCCUAAAUACUCUGAGUGCAUUGAUAUACCUAAAUUUCAGAGUGUAUUAUCCUAAAUCAGCCAAAACAAAACUAUCUCUGGUGUACCACUCGUAAAACUGUAGGAUCCAGUUUUAUAUAAGGACAGUUAAAAUGUGUUAUUCUGUGUAGUCAUAUUUAUACAGCUUUACAGCCCAAUGCAAGCUCUAUUCUGCCUAAACACAGGAAGGUUGAUAGCAUGGAGUUGGGUGCACAAGUUGGGUCCAGACAGCUCCUCUGUGGAUCUGCAGGCAUUGAGCACAAAGGCUGAUGACAAUACUUCACACAUGGAGCAUCAAGAUCUGCAGUGGGUUUGAAAGCUUGUUCAGCUGAAUGUGCUUACAAAUUUCCCUAUGUAUCUGGGGAUGUUGAUGGCAAGGAUCCCAUGUAUGCCCACCCAUUUUAAAUGCUCGUGAGUGCAGAAUCCAUGCCUGCAAAUUAAAGUUUGAUGAUCAUGUAAGUGGAUGUUACCUUCUUAAACAAAAUUAAAGCUUGAAAUUGGGUCAUGAAGCAGGAAGAAAAAACAUCUAUAAGCAAGAUCAAUAUAAGAACACGUAAGUAUUGAAAAACCUUUUUAUCUAGCAUCUGAAUCUGAGCUAUUGUAAAACAUUUUUGUAGUUGAACAUUAAUGUUGCAGCAAUGAUUCUGAACCUCUGUGGUAUAUACAGUAUCAUGAACGCAAAGAUCUAAGCUAAUACAUUAAAAUGGUUUGUAAAUGAUAAUGACCUAUAAAGCCCUAAACGGCU